AACGAACGCUGGCGGCGUGCCUAACACAUGCAAGUCGAACGAGAAAGGGGCUUCGGCUCCGAGUAAAGUGGCGCACGGGUGAGUAACACGUGGGUAACCUGCCUCUAAGAUUGGGAUAACUCGUCGAAAGAUGAGCUAAUACCGGAUAAGACCACAGUUCCCGCGGGAACAGGGGUCAAAGGUAGCCUCUGCUUGCACGCUAUCACUUAGAGAUGGGCCUACGCACCAUUAGCUAGUUGGUAGGGUAACGGCCUACCAAGGCAAAGAUGGUUAGCUGGUCUGAGGGGAUGAUCAGCCACACUGGAACUGGGACACGGUCCAGACUCCUACGGGAGGCAGCAGUGGGGAAUAUUGCGCAAUGGGCGAAAGCUUGACGCAGCAACGCCGCGUGAGUGAUGAAGGCCUUCGGGUCGUAAAGCUCUGUCGGGAGGAACGAAUGCUCCCAAGGUUAACAGCCUCGGGAGGUGACGGUACCUUCAAAGGAAGCACCGGCUAACUCUGUGCCAGCCGCCGCAGUAAUAC
rnacentral:rRNA from 1 species